CGGCAACAGCUCAAAUUUGAAAUCUGCCACCAGGCCGAGUUGUAAUUUGCAGAGGAUGCUUCGGGUGCGGCGCCUUCCGAGUCCCCUGGAACGGGGCGCCGGAGAGGGUGAGAGCCCCGUACGGUUGAGCGUCAAGCCCGUGUGAAGCUCCUUCGAC
rnacentral:rRNA from 1 species